GUCCUGGUAGUUCAAUGGAUAGAACGCGACCCUCCUAAGGUUGAGAUACAGGUUCGAUUCCUGUUCGGGAUACCA
rnacentral:tRNA from 2 species